GGAUAAGUGGUCGAGUGGUUUAAGGCGUUAGUUUUGAAAACUAUUGUAUUAUUUAAUACCGUGGGUUCGAAUCCCUCCUUAUCCU
rnacentral:tRNA from 1 species